GUUGGCCCAAUGGAUACGGCGUCGGCCUCCGAAGCUGGAGAUUCCAGGUUCGAGUUC
rnacentral:tRNA from 16 species